UGAACGCUGGCGGCGUGCCUAAUACAUGCAAGUCGAGCGAACAGACGAGGAGCUUGCUCCUCUGACGUUAGCGGCGGACGGGUGAGUAACACGUGGAUAACCUACCUAUAAGACUGGGAUAACUUCGGGAAACCGGAGCUAAUACCGGAUAAUAUAUUGAACCGCAUGGUUCAAUAGUGAAAGACGGUUUUGCUGUCACUUAUAGAUGGAUCCGCGCCGCAUUAGCUAGUUGGUAAGGUAACGGCUUACCAAGGCAACGAUGCGUAGCCGACCUGAGAGGGUGAUCGGCCACACGGGAACUGAGACACGGUCCAGACUCCUACGGGAGGCAGCAGUAGGGAAUCUUCCGCAAUGGGCGAAAGCCUGACGGAGCAACGCCGCGUGAGUGAUGAAGGUCUUCGGAUCGUAAAACUCUGUUAUUAGGGAAGAACAAAUGUGUAAGUAACUAUGCACGUCUUGACGGUACCUAAUCAGAAAGCCACGGCUAACUACGU
rnacentral:rRNA from 1 species